rnacentral:rRNA from 1 species
GACGAACGCUGGCGGCGUGCUUAACACAUGCAAGUCGAACGGAAAGGCCUCAGCUUGCUGGGGUACUCGAGUGGCGAACGGGUGAGUAACACGUGGGUGAUCUGCCUUGCACUCUGGGAUAAGCUUGGGAAACUGGGUCUAAUACCGGAUAUGAACUGCCUUUAGUGUGGUGGUUGGAAAGUUUUUUCGGUGCAAGAUGAGCUCGCGGCCUAUCAGCUUGUUGGUGGGGUAAUGGCCUACCAAGGCGUCGACGGGUAGCCGGCCUGGGAGGGUGUACGGCCACAUUGGGACUGAGAUACGGCCCAGACUCCUACGGGAGGAAGCAGUGGGGAAUAUUGCACAAUGGGCGGAAGCCGGAUGCAGCGGCGCCGCGUGGGGGAUGACGGCCUUCGGGUUGUAAACUCCUUUCGACAGGGACGAAGCUUUUUGUGACGGUACCUGUAGAAGAAGCACCGGCUAACUACGUG